CACGUAGGGGGCGAGCGUUGUCCGGAUUCAUUGGGCGUAAAGAGCUCGUAGGCGGCUCAGUAAGUCGGGUGUGAAACCCUCAGGCUCAACCUGGGGACGCCACUCGAUACUGCUGUGGCUAGAGUCCAGUAGAGGAGUGUGGAAUUCCCGGUGUAGCGGUGAAAUGCGCAGAUAUCAGGAAGAACACCCGUGGCGAAGGCGGCUCCUCUGGGACGGUACUGACGCUGAGACGCGAAAGCGUGGGGAGCGAACAGG
rnacentral:rRNA from 1 species